GUUGUCUCCUGUGUCUGUUGCGCCACACGGGACUGUUUCGACGAAGAGAACACCCGUUACAAGAAUGCCAGACUUGAAGUUUGAUGACAAAAUUUCCCACGAAAGACCAUCACGCCAAGUGAGCACAUUACAACAAGGUGUCGACCAUUAUCCCAUUAUACCUGUGUUCUCUGU